GACGAACGCUGGCGGCGUGCCUAAUACAUGCAAGUAGAACGCUGAAGGAGGAGCUUGCUUCUCUGGAUGAGUUGCGAACGGGUGAGUAACGCGUAGGUAACCUGCCUGGUAGCGGGGGAUAACUAUUGGAAACGAUAGCUAAUACCGCAUAAGAGUAGAUGUUGCAUGACAUUUGCUUAAAAGGUGCAAUUGCAUCACUACCAGAUGGACCUGCGUUGUAUUAGCUAGUUGGUGGGGUAACGGCUCACCAAGGCGACGAUACAUAGCCGACCUGAGAGGGUGAUCGGCCACACUGGGACUGAGACACGGCCCGGAAUCCUACGGGAGGCAGCAGUAGGGAAUCUUCGGCAAUGGACGGAAGUCUGACCGAGCGACGCCGCGUGAGUGAAGAAGGUUUUCGGAUCGUGAAGCUCUGUUGUAAGAGAAGAACGAGUGUGAGAGUGGAAAGUUCACACUGUGACGGUAUCUUAACAGAAAGGGACGGCUAACUACGUG
rnacentral:rRNA from 1 species